UCAUUCAGAUUCGCCAUCAUACGUCCAACCCUGCAUUUGAUAUGCAUAUAUAUAUAUGUGCAUCACGAGCCACGGUUGGGUUGUAUGAUGGCGAUACCGAUUGG
rnacentral:pre_miRNA from 1 species